rnacentral:rRNA from 1 species
AGCAGCCGCGGUAAUUCCAGCUCCAAUAGCGUAUAUUAAAGUUGUUGCAGUUAAAAAGCUCGUAGUUGAAUUUCGGGGUUAGUAGGUUGGUCAUGCCUCUGGUAUGUACUGGUCUCACUGAUUCCUCCUUCCUGAUGAGCCGUAAUGCCAUUAAUUUGGUGUUGCGGGGAAUUUGGACUGUUACUUUGAAAAAAUUAGAGUGUUUAAAGCAAGCUAACGCUUGAAUACAUUAGCAUGGAAUAAUGAAAUAGGACGUUCGAUCCUAUUUUGUUGGUUUCUAGGAUUGACGUAAUGAUUAAUAGGGAUAGUUGGGGGCAUUAGUAUUCAAUUGUCAGAGGUGAAAUUCUUGGAUUUAUUGAAGACUAACUACUGCGAAAGCAUUUGCCAAGGAUGUUUUCAUUAAUCAAGAACGAAAGUUAGGGAUCGAAGACGAUCAGAUACCGUCGUAGUCUUAACCAUAAACUAUGCCGACUAGGGAUCGGAUGAUGUUAAUUUUUAUGUACUCAUUCGGCGCCUUAAC